ACAUUGGUCCAGACCCCGUGCGGACGCAAAAGCUGCUCUAGGCUCCGGGGAAACUUUGGGGCUGCUGGCUGGCAACAGUGGACUAAUGUCCUCAUCAAGAAGGCUGCUGGCUGCAAGAGAAGUUAGGGGCUUCCGGGCCUAAAACAGUGGGAAGCAGUUGUGUGUAAAAGAAGCCAUGAUGGACCUACUAACUGGACGGGAGCAUAAUCAAGCCAAGAAUGGAGUCAUGUGAGGAGAAUUCUGAGCACUUGUGAGAACACUUCAAAGACAACACAAAUGUCUUGUGACCUCAAUGUCUUCAAAAUGCUGAAUUGUUCUUGGAAUGAAUUUUUUGUGCUCCUCCCAGGUGUCAUGGAUUCAGUUAAGUGUUUGUAUGCCUCUAUGGAUGAAAGAUGGUUUUACCAACUGUGGUUUGUCCUGGGGGAGUGUAUACUUCUUGGACUCAUGAAAACUUUACUGUGAACUUUCUUAACCCUCAGAGUUAAUAAACUGUCUGAGACUCUGGAUAAAGGCGUGAGAUUUAGUUGGCCUCAUUUGUUGGCUGCAUUCUCUCAGGCCCUAUCACCUCUAGAGCAAUGAGAGUUUCAAAUCUGAGACACUAGAAUGUUAGUUUCUAUGUCACUCUGUGGUUGUGCUCUUGCCUGCUUCAGUCCUCAAGCUUUGUGAAAGGGCAGGGACAGUGCUAAAUAUGCUCACCCAGCCAGAAGCAAAAAUUCAGUACCUAAAAUUGGGUUUUGACUAAAUUAUACUGCAGUGCAUUUUUAUACCUGCUUGGCAAAUAAUACGCAGAGGAAGGCUACAAUUACAUAGGUUCUUUGCCAGAAAUAAAGGAUAGGUUAAAGUAAUAAACCCUUCAAAUUAGUGAAAAGAAAGAUGAAGGGAAGGAAAAAAGAAUGUAUUUUCAUGAUACAAGAAAGGAGGAAGAGAAAGAGAGAGACAGGGUUGGGGACAUGAAAGAGUCUUCCCAAAUCAAGAUCAACACAUAUCAUCACAUCACUAUAAACCUAUACUUAUUUUCAGGAUUUGCUGGGUUCCCCCAGAACAAUCCCAGAGUCUCACCAUCCCCGUCUCUGCAGCAGAACACCAUGGCAGCCUUGCCUGCCUCCUGCUCCCAUUUCCUGUGCAUCCCACAGAUCUUCCCCUCCUACUUUCUUCUUCCCACUUGUUGCUUUGUUCUAGACCCAACUCCGGCUGGCACCUCCUGGUCACCCAAGGACCAAGAGAUCCCAUCCCUCCAAUUUUAUUUCUAGCUUUAUAGCAAGAAAUGUGCUGCAGCCUUCCUUUCUGCUGUGACGACAUCAACCAGGGAUCACAGAGACCUGCUCCAACCUUCCUUCCCCCAAACUCAUGUCAGUAUCCCAGCCUCCAACACCAGCAGGCAUUCCUUGUGAACACAGCAGCUGCACAGGCCAGGAAAGCAGACUGUUAACACACAGACAUCACGCUUUUUGAAAAUUCAGAGAGGAAACAGAAACCAAGGAACAAAAUACUCAUCCAACAAAGACAAAUUCAGAAGUCAGCACCUAACCGUAUAAUCAUACCAACCCCAGAUGCAUAGGUACCAGCAUAAAAACAGAACAAAACAAAACAAACACAAAAGGGUAGGUCAAUACCUCCACUAGAGCCAAGUGAUCUUACCAUAGCAUACCCUGAAUAACAUAGAUGAAACACAAGAAAAUUCCUUAAAAUCAUCUAUAUGACUCUGGUAGACAUUCUUAAGAGGAAAAUAAAUGAAUUUUAAAGAAAUCUAGGAAAACACAGAUAGUAUAAAUAAAUAAAUAGAUAGAUAGAUAGAUAGAUAGAUAGAUAGAUAGAUAAGUAGAACAGACUAUUAAAGACUUGAAAGUGAAAACAAAACCAAUAAAGAAAACAAACUGAAGGAAUCCUAGUGAUGAAAGAUUUAGGAACAGGAAUUAUAGCAGCAAUCAUCACUGUCAGAAUAUGGACGAGACAGUCUCAGGGAUUGAAGAUAGAAUAGAAAAAAUGGAUACAUCAGUGAAAAAAGUUUAAUUAAUUAAUUAAUUAAUAAAAGCCUCCUGACACAAAACAUUCACGAAAUCUAUGAAAAGGUCAAACCUAAGAAUGAUAGGUGUCUAGGAAGGAGAGAAUCCCAGCUCAUAAGUCCAGAAAAUGUCUUCGACAAAAUCAUGGAAAAUGAUCCUAAAGAAUUAGCAUACAGAAAUACCAAUAGAUUGGACCAGAAAAGAAAGUCCUUUCACCAUAUAAUAACCAAAACACCAUACAUACAUGCAUACAUACAUACAUACAUACGUAUGUACAUACACAACAUUCAACACAAAUAUACAAAACAAAGAAAGAGAUUAAAGGCUACAAGGGGGAAAGACUGAGAAACACAUUAGGACAGACCUAUUAGAAUUAUACCAGACUUCUCAGUGGAGAUUCUUAGAGGCUCAGGUUGGCUUAGAUGUCUUGCAUACUCUGAGAGACCACAAAUGCCAGCCCAAACUGUUAUACCCAGAAAAACUUUUAAUCACCAUAUAUGCAGAAAAUAUGAUGCUUCAUUGAUAAAGUCAAAUUCCAACAAUAUCUGUAUACAAAUACAGCACUACAGAAGCUGUUGGAAGGAAAACUCCAACCUCAGGAGGUUAAGUACAUGCAAGAACACACAAGAAAUAAUCUCACGUCAGCAAGACCAGAAGAAGGGAAAUGAACAUGAGUGUGCACCACACACACACACACACACACACACACACACACACACACACCAAUGACACCAACACCAAAAUAAAAUAAAUCAAUAAUCAUUGGUUAUGAUAUCUCACAAUAUCAAGAUCUCAAUUUCCUAGUAAAAAGACACCGACUAACAGAAUGGAUUUGAAAACUGGAUCCAUCCUGCUGCAUCGGAGAAACAUACUUCAACAUCAAGGACAGACAUUACCUGAGUGUAAAAUGUUGGGAAAAGAUAUUCCAAGCAAAUGGAACUAAUUAGCAAGCUUGUGUAGCCAUUUCAAUAUCUAAUAAAAUAGACUUCAAGCCAAAACCAAUUAGCAGAGAUAGCGAAGGACAUUACAUACUCAUCAAAAAAAAAAAAAGUCACCCAAGAUGACAUUUCACUUCUUAACAUCUAUGCCCCAAACACAAGGGUGCACAAGUUGCAAUACAAAAUUAAACAAAAAAGGAAAAACAAACAAAACACUACUACAGCUUAAACCACAUAGUGACACCUUACAUACUUACAGAGCAUUUAUCCAAACAUAAAAGAAUAUACCUUCUUCGCUGUACCUCAUGCAACUUUCUAUGGAUUCUACACAAUAUUCAUCAAAGUUCCAACACAAUUCUUCAUAGACUUUAAAGAACACUUCUCAAUUUCAUAUGGAAAACCAAAAACCCAGGAUAGCUAAAACAAUCUUGAUCAAUAAAAGAACAACUGGAAGCAUCGCCAUCCUUGAUUCAAGUAAUACUACAGAGCUAAAGAUGCAUGGUAUGGGCAUAAAACCAGAUAUGGUUAUCAGUGGAAUCGACUUGAAGACCCAGACAUAAAUCUGGACACCUGAUUUUGAUAAAUAAGCCAGAAAUAAACACUGAGAAAAAAAUGACAGCAUUUUUAACAAAUGGUGCUGGAUUCUGCAUGUAAAAGAAUAGAUUCAUAACCCUGCAUACAAGUUAAGUCGAAGUGGAUCAAAGACCUCAACAUAAAACCAGAUGCAAUGAACUUGAUAGAAGAGAAAAUGGGGAAUUACCUUGAUCACAUAGGUACAGGAGAUCACUUUCUGAACAGAACACUGAUAGCCCAGACACUAAGAUCAACAAUUCAAAAUGGGACCUCAUAAAACUGAAAAGCUUCUGUAAGGUAAAGGACACUGUCAAUAGGACAAGAUGGCACCUUAUAGAAUGGAUUUUUACCAAUUUCACAACCAAUAGGAGACUCUAUAUUCAAAAUAUAUAAAGAAUUCAAGAAUCAAAAUAACAAAAAAAAAUCAAAUUUAGAAAUAAGGUACAGACUUAAACAGAAUUCUCAAUAGAAGAAACUCAAAUGGCCAAGAAACUAUUUUUUUAAAAAAUGGUCAAUAUCUUUAUCAGGGAAAUGCGAGUCAAAAUGACUUUGAGAUUCCAUCUUCUAUCUUCCAGAAAGGCUAAGAUCAAAAACACAAGUAACAGUCCAUGCUGGCAAGGCUUGGAAGAAGGGAAACACUCCUCCAUCGACGGUGGAAGCUCAAACUCAUACAGCCACCAUGGCAUCUAUAAGGUCUGGGUGGUAUUCCAAGGCAGAAAGCAAGCCUGACACUAGAAGAAUCCUGCCUGAGAUCAUGGGGCCCUCAGAGGAACAGAGCUGGAGACAGACGACACUCACAUGGGACUACUCAGGAGGACCUGGAUGAAGACCAAGUUCAAGUUAACCACCAGACCAUGGGGCCCAGACAGGGAGUUUAAUCAAGUACCAGAACAAGCCCGUAUUCAAAUGCGGAAGAGAGUGAGGUCUGGCCUGGGAGCCACGGCAGCAGCAAAGGGCAGCAGCAAAGACUCCUCCCCUCCUGCUCUGUAUAGAGCAGGUGUCUAUGCAGGACCUUUCUUCUUCCAUACAAGUCCCAACCAAGCCCUCAGUCUACUGGGUGGUUCUGUUCUUUGUCACCCAAUCUGCCACCCCCUGAAGAUUCGUCUGGAAAUGAUUCCCCAACAGAAUCCCUGACCAGUUCUCUGUCAAGUGGGAUAGUCAAGGCCAACGACCGCACCAAGGGAAGGCAAACAAACGAACAACCAGGAGCUGAGAGAACAACAGGGCAAUCAAACCACUUUUUGGUCCUUUCAUUAAAUGAAAGGAGAAAGACGAUGGCAUUCCUGUGAACCAGCCAGUCCUUGGCUUUGGAAAGGAAGCCUGUUCCAGGGUAGAACCUCUUCUUUCCUCCUCUUCUCCCUGUUCUAUUGCUUUUCUAAGAGGCACCUGAAAAGGCUAAUGCUCUUCCCAGGGUUCUGUUCCUCAAGGGCUAAGUGUGAGGGGCUUUUCUUUGAAGGAUGCUGACUACUUUUACUAUGAAUCCUCAAGCAGAUCCAGUCCUGCUAUCUCUGUGAAUAUGUGUUCACUUUUUACCUUUGGGAGUGUAAAAGGGAGUUGCUAAGCUGUAACCUAAUGGUUAUUCCUCUUCACCGGGGGAAACUAUGAAUUAGUCACAGCAUGGCUUUGGAAAUGGCAUCUUCUAGGAAGCCUCCUUAUAUCACAAAUGAGCCUCACAAGUUCCUAGUAUUAGGUACUGAGGAACUUAUUUAAAAUGUCGUAUUGCUUCCUCAGAAUAACCCUAUGGAGUGGUUGCUAUUAUUUUGCCUAAUUCAUGAAGGCUGAAACUGAAACUAGGCUGAGCUAAGCUACCAUACAGAAUUAGAGGUGGAGAAUGUUUCUGUCUUCAGGUUUCUGUUGCUGUGAAGAAACACCAUGACCACUGAAACUUUUUAUGUAGGAGAACAUUUCACUGGGGUUGGCUUACAGUUGGGAGUUUUAGCUGUUAUCAUGGCAGGAAGACCUGGAGAGGUAACCAAGAGUCAUUAGGCAGCAAAGAGGGGGAGGGAGGACUGAACUAGACUUGAGCAUUUGAAACCCAGAGCCCACCCUCCGUGACACAUUUCCUCUAACAAAGUCAUUGUACACCAACAAGGCCACAUGUCCUAAUCCUUUCAAACAAUGCCACUCCCUAUGAACCAGUGGGGGCCACUAUCAUUCAAACCACACAAUUUCUCAAAGACAGCCCAAGCUCCUGUGUCUGCUCUUCCUUGCCCUGCUCUGUCACCAUGAAUUCUCAUAAAGAGAUUUGUUUCCAGUGGGGGCUUGUGUGCUGGUCUUGAACAUUCUUACAGUGUACAUCAAUCAAUUUUCUUCUCAAUGUUCUGGUGCCCCUGGAGAGGGGAACAGAGGCUGGUGAGACUAAAGAGACUAGCAAAAGGUGCUCCAACUACAAGAGGAAGUAGGAUUAACCUGGGGGUAAAUGUCAAACGAAAACUUCCAUGCUGUCUUUGCUGUAGUGACUCAGAAUCCACCCUCCAGAGUCUCCAUAGAAAGAAGGAAUAAAUAGAAAAUACAUCAAAAGGACCAGCCCUUAGAAAUGCUAUUUGUGAUCACAUCAGAGACUUGGUAUCACUUCAGAUAUGUAUUAAAAUACCAUUCUGGAACUUCAAGGCCUUUACCUCCCUUCCCAGUGGUUUAAAACUCCAUUUUAUCGGAUUGUUCUGUGGAAACGUAAAGGAGAAAAGAAGCCACUGGGAAGAGAAAAAAUUGAUAUUCCUACCCCAAAGAGUCAGGCAGGCAGAAGGCAGGGCUGUCUACUGUUGGAGGAUAGUGGCACCUGACAUGAUUCUGUAUGACCAAUGAAUACAUUUUUUAACAUUUUUCUGUGUUCUAUUGAAAAUAGAUUUUUUUCAUACAGUAUAUUCUGGUUCUCCUCCCUCAACUUCAAGAUUUCCUCCACCUCCUAUCCUGUUAAAAUUUACACCCUUUCUGUCUCUCCUUAGAAAACAAAAAGAAAUUGCUUCUCGACCUUUUGGCUAAGAUCAUGUAUAGAAAACAAAAGGAAAUCUAAAUCUAAAUAAUAAUAAUAAUAAUAAUAAUAAUAAUGAACAAAACUGAAACAGGACAAAACAAACAGAGAAAAAGAGCCAAAGAAAAAGCCAAAGAUAUGCCUGUAGACACUGAGAAACAAAUGUGUGCACACAGGAAUUUCCUAAAAACAUAACACUGGAAGCCAUAAUAUAUAUGCACUAAGCUUGAAAGAGUUACUAAUAUCUGAUUAUAUUAGGGCACACUCCAUGAGGGGCCCUGUCACCAACACUCCAAUUGGUCAAACACCUGAGAGGCUAGGGACCUAGAGGAAAACCAAAUAAUAUUGUUCUGCUGAAGCUAUGGUUUUCAACCAGUGGGUCGUGCACAACACCUUGGGGACCGGGGAGACUAGUGAUCCUUUUACAGGGGCCACCUAAGACCAUUGGAAAGCACAGGUAUUUACAUUAUGAUUAAUAACAGUUACAAUAGCAAACUGUUACAAAAUAGCAGUGAAGAUGAUUUUAUGUUUGGAGUCAUCUUAACUGUACUAAAGGGCUGAGGCAUAAGAAAGGUUUGGAAGUACUGUGCUAAAGGAACAUAGCCAUAAAGUGAUGCCUAGUGUCAUUCCGCUACACUCACAGAUCAGGGUUUGCUCAGCCAUUACCAGAGAAGCUUUUUCCUGCAGUAGACAAAAAUGUAUACAGAGACACAUAGCUGGACAAUGUGCAGCAAAAGAGAGAAAGACACACACCACACACACAAACACACACCACACACACACAUACAGAGAGAGAGAGAGAGAGAGAGAGAGAGAGAGAGAGAGAGAGAGAGAGAAAGAGAGCGAGCUGGAGAGACAGACACACACAGAGAGAGACAAAGCCAGUGACAGAGACACACAGAGACAGAGAAAUAGAAACAGAGACAAAGACACGGAGACAUAGACACAGAGACAGAGUGAGAGAGUUAGAGAAAGAAAGACAAAGAGAGAGAGAGACAGAGACAGAGAGAGAGACAGAGACAGAGACUGAGAGAAGAGAAGCCGACCAACUGUGGACCACAGCAUCCUAAAAGGGAUGUCUCCAUUAUCUCCCUCCCCUUGGGGUUCAGUGAAUACAUUCCUUACAAGGAAUUGUUUAUGGUUGUAUAUUAAUGUCAUUAGUAAUAAAGGUAAAAAGUCAAUCAUGUAAAAUUAGUAAUUUCUGGCAUUGUUUCUUAGAGCAAGGCUAUGUUUUGGGAAGAAAUCUGAAGACAACAAUUGAACAAAUAAUAUAAUGGAAAGGGAAGGAAAAAUGCCGAGGGUGUGUGUGGAACAUUAAAGUUGGGACUCAUUUGUAUCUGUCCAGAUUCUCCAGUAUGACUACUUGUUCAAAAUGUGCUAGCCUUUGACUUGGGGCAUAUAAGGAUUCCUGCAAAUGCUGCCUGGAAGAGUAACGGACCAUGAGAGACAAGAAGGAAACCCCAUUUACC